UCAAGCAGCCAUAUCACACUGCAACUUACAACUGGCAACCCACUGAAGCUAAGCAGGUGUGAGCCUGGUCAGUACCUGGAUGGGAGACCUCCUGGGAAAAACUAAAGGCUGCUGCUGGAA
rnacentral:rRNA from 1 species